CGACGAUCAGUAGCUGGUUUGAGAGAACGACCAGCCACACUGGGACUGAGACACGGCCCAGACUCCUACGGGAGGCAGCAGUGGGGAAUUUUGGACAAUGGGGGCAACCCUGAUCCAGCCAUGCCGCGUGCGGGAAGAAGGCCUUCGGGUUGUAAACCGCUUUUGUCAGGGAAGAAAUGGACUUUUCUAAUACAAGAGUUCGAUGACGGUACCUGAAGAAUAAGCACCGGCUAACUACGUGCCAGCAGCCGCGGUAAUACGUAGGGUGCAAGCGUUAAUCGGAAUUACUGGGCGUAAAGCGUGCGCAGGCGGUUCUGCAAGUCAGAUGUGAAAGCCCUGGGCUUAACCUAGGAAUUGCGU
rnacentral:rRNA from 1 species